rnacentral:rRNA from 1 species
CCUACGUGAGUCAGCAGUGGGGAAUAUUGGGCAAUGGGCGCACGCCUGGCCCAGCAACGCCGCGUGAAGGAAGAAGGCUUUCGGGUUGUAAACUUCUUUUAAGAGGGAAGAGUAGAAGACGGUAUCUCUUGAAUAAGCUACGGCUAACUACGUGCCAGCAGCCGCGGUAAUACGUAGGUGGCAAGCGUUGUACGGAUUUACUGGGUGUAAAGGGCGUGUAGUCGGGCGGGCAAGUCAGUUGUGAAAUCCCAAGGCUCAACCUUGGAACUGCAUUUGAAACUGUUAGACUGGAGUCUCGGAGAGGCAGGGGGAAUUCCUGGUGUAGCGGUGAAAUGCGUAGAUAUUAGGAGGAACACCAGUGGCGAAGGCGACUAGCUGGAAGACAACUGACGGGGAGGAGCGAAAGCGUGGGGAGCAAACAGGAUUAGAUACCCUUGUAGUC